rnacentral:rRNA from 1 species
AACGAACGCUGGCGGCAGGCUUAACACAUGCAAGUCGAACGCCCCGCAAGGGGAGUGGCAGACGGGUGAGUAACGCGUGGGAAUCUACCCGAUACUACGGAAUAGCUCCGGGAAACUGGAAUUAAUACCGUAUGUGCCCUACGGGGGAAAGAUUUAUCGGUAUUGGAUGAGCCCGCGUUGGAUUAGCUAGUUGGUGGGGUAAUGGCCUACCAAGGCGACGAUCCAUAGCUGGUCUGAGAGGAUGAUCAGCCACACUGGGACUGAGACACGGCCCAGACUCCUACGGGAGGCAGCAGUGGGGAAUAUUGGACAAUGGGCGAAAGCCUGAUCCAGCCAUGCCGCGUGAGUGAUGAAGGCCUUAGGGUUGUAAAGCUCUUUCAGUGGGGACGAUAAUGACGGUACCCACAGAAGAAGCCCGGCUAACUUCGUG